rnacentral:lncRNA from 13 species
UCCCUGACCAAGGUGGUUGCCAUUUUUUGCCCCAUUAUGGAACUUUUGAGGGUUUAUGACAUAGCUCCUCUCGUAAUUUAUUAGGAUCUCUUUGGAUUUGGAGUUCUCUCUUGGGGUACCAUUUGAAAAUAUAUUACCACAAGUGCAAUGCCUUACAAAAAUGUAUUUGUUGCAGAGAACUUCCCCCAAGACAUUGAAUACAUGUUGUUUAGUAAAUUUAGUAAGUUCAGUUUAGUUUUCUGUGAGAAGCAAGUUCGUUUAAAUUAUGUGAUUUUGUUUAUGUAGAUACAUUUCAAUGUUGUUAAAGUAACCAAAAACCUGAUCUAAUUUGCAUGUUCAUAGUGAGGUGGCAACAAAAAUGCAGCAAACAGUAGAAUGUUCGCCACACGUUUUCCAGAAAUGUUUGCCAGAAUUUGACGCAACAGUUUGCCACAUCUCUCUCUCACACACACACUCACACACACACACACACAUCUGAACCCCCGCCCAUUUCAGUCAUAAAACUCAAGCACAUCUCAGACAGACACGCCAAAAUAGCUGUCGCGUCUCUGUCGGAUCUCGUCUGUUUAUCGAUCUCACUUCAGCUCAGAACCCCAUUCCGCUACUGCUGUCCCAUAUGAAGAGGGGGAAAGAAAGCACUCCCCGACCACGCACAUUCACACCGAAGCCUUCUUCAACUUACUCGCUGACCAGCUUUUUCGCAGCGGAACAUGAGCGAUAAAGAUAAAAACGCCGGCCUCUUCUCUUCUCACCUGAGACAGCUGCUGGGCACUGUCAUGUUGGACUCCGAUUUCGCUGCUGCUGCUGGUCUUGAAAUAUCUGACCGCUGCUAUUUGCUUGUUAAGCACGAUCAUGACCCUUUACCCUUGUGACAAAGUCACCACAAACGUGUAGCAGUCUAAUGCUUGUGGCUAGCUGAUGAAGUGGAGCUGCUGCAUGGGUUUAGCGGUUGCUGUUUCUGUAAUCUGUGAGGUAAGUUCUACAACUGUACAAAUCCCCAAAUUACCACUACG